AUUGAACGCUGGCGGCAGGCCUAACACAUGCAAGUCGAACGAGCGGCGGACGGGUGAGUAAUGUAUGGGGAUCUGCCCGAUGGAGGGGGAUAACUACUGGAAACGGUGGCUAAUACCGCAUACUAUCGGAUGAACCCAUAUGGGAUUAGCUAGUGGGGGGGGUAAAGGCUCACCUAGGCGACGAUCCCUAGCUGGUCUGAGAGGAUGACCAGCCACACUGGAACUGAGACACGGUCCAGACUCCUACGGGAGGCAGCAGUGGGGAAUAUUGCACAAUGGGCGCAAGCCUGAUGCAGCCAUGCCGCGUGUAUGAAGAAGGCCUUAGGGUUGUAAAGUACUUUCAGCGGGGAGGCGUUACCCGCAGAAGAAGCACCGGCUAACUACGUGCCAGCAGCCGCGGUAAUUC
rnacentral:rRNA from 1 species